rnacentral:rRNA from 1 species
UACGGGGGGUGCGAGCGUUGUCCGGAAUCACUGGGCGUAAAGGGCGCGUAGGUGGUUUGAUAAGGGUGUGGUGAAAGCCCGGGGCUCAACCCCGGGUCGGCCGUGCGAACUGUCGAGCUGGAGCACUGUAGAGGCAGGUGGAAUUCCGGGUGUAGCGGUGGAAUGCGUAGAGAUCCGGAAGAACACCGGUGGCGAAGGCGGCCUGCUGGGCAGUGGCUGACGCUGAGGCGCGACAGCGUGGGGAGCAAACAGG